UAGCUUAUAGGCUAUUUAAAAACAGGUGGCAGGCUGGAUUCAGCUUAUGGGGCUUAGUUUGAUAACCCCUGAUUUACAUGGUAUCUUGGAAAUCUCUCCCCGUUAUGACAUGUAGAUCUACCUCAUUGUUUUAAUGGCUGCCUACUUUGUUGAAGUAGGAACCAGAGGAGCUCUUGGGGAGCAUAGCCUUAGGAAAGAGCUCCAGUGUCCUGUUUUCAGGGUUGGGCAGCUUAGAGGAGCCUGUUUAUGGGGUCACACCAAACAGACUGGCCCCCAGCAGGGCUGCAGCUGAACUCAAGCCAGGUGGCAGGGAAUCAUGAGUGGGCCAACAGGAAAUAUCGAUAGUGUGGACAGGGCUUCCUUAUGAGAAAUUCACCUGUGUUAGGACAAAAAUAUGGCAAGAACUACGUAGGACAGCAGGGCGAGAGAAGAUUUCUUUUAACUUCUGUACAGGCUGAAGGAAGCAAACCAGC
rnacentral:lncRNA from 10 species